ACCGAUGGCGACUGGCGCACGGUGAGUAACACGUAUCCAACCUGCCGAUAACUCGGGGAUAGCCUUUCGAAAGAAAGAUUAAUACCCGAUGGCAUAAUAGAACCGCAUGGUUUGAUUAUUAAAGAAUUUCGGUUAUCGAUGGGGAUGCGUUCCAUUAGGCAGUUGGUGGGGUAACGGCCCACCAAACCUUCGAUGGAUAGGGGUUCUGAGAGGAAGGUCCCCCACAUUGGAACUGAGACACGGUCCAA
rnacentral:rRNA from 1 species